rnacentral:lncRNA from 1 species
UAACAUUUUUGCGAAAGUGCAAAGACAUUUCAAUGGAGAAAGGUGGUCUUUUCAAGCCAUAGAGCUGUAACAAUGGGAUGUCUGUAUGCUUAAAUAUGAACCUAGACAUAGAUCUUACACAAUUUACCAAAUGAAACUCAAAUGGGUAAUAGACUUAAAUGUAAAAUACAAAACUGUAAAAUUCCUAGAAGAAAACAUCAGAGAAAAAUUGCUGGAACCUUGAAUAUGGUGAGGAGUUUUGAGACAAACACUGUACGUACCAAUCCAUGAAACAGAAAAAAUAGAGAGCUGCACUUUCCUGACUGGUGAAGUGAUGGACGUAAUUUAGAAGACAGCUGUGAU